UUCCAGACUCCUACGGGAGGCAGCAGUGAGGAAUAUUGGUCAAUGGGCGGAAGCCUGAACCAGCCAAGUCGCGUGAGGGGAUAAGGCCCUACGGGUCGUAAACCUCUUUUGCCGGGGAGCAAGGGCGGGGACGUGUCCCGGCCCGGAGAGUACCCGGAGAAAAAGCAUCGGCUAACUCCGUGCCAGCAGCCGCGGUAAUACGGAGGAUGCGAGCGUUAUCCGGAUUUAUUGGGUUUAAAGGGUGCGCAGGCGGAAGAUCAAGUCAGCGGUAAAAUUGAGAGGCUCACCCUCUUCGAGCCGUUGAAACUGGUUUUCUUGAGUGAGCGAGAAGUAUGCGGAAUGCGUGGUGUAGCGGUGAAAUGCAUAGAUAUCACGCAGAACUCCGAUUGCGAAGGCAGCAUACCGGCGCUCAACUGACGCUCAUGCACGAAAGUGUGGGUAUCGAACAGGAUUAGAUACCCUGGUA
rnacentral:rRNA from 1 species